GCGGAGGAAAAGAAACCAACAGGGAUUGCCCUAGUAACGGCGAGUGAAGCGGCAACAGCUCAAAUUUGAAAUCUGGCGUCUUUGGCGUCCGAGUUGUAAUUUGCAGAGGGCGCUUUGGCGUUGGCAGCGGUCCAAGUUCCUUGGAACAGGACGUCACAGAGGGUGAGAAUCCCGUACGUGGUCGCUGGCCUUCGCCGUGUAAAGCCCCUUCGACGAGUCGAGUUGUUUGGGAAUGCAGCUCUAAAUGGGAGGUAAAUUUCUUCUAAAGCUAAAUACUGGCCAGAGACCGAUAGCGCACAAGUAGAGUGAUCGAAAGAUGAAAAGCACUUUGGAAAGAGAGUCAAACAGCACGUGAAAUUGUUAAAAGGGAAGCGCUUGCAGCCAGACUUGCCUGUAGUUGCUCAUCCGGACUUCUGUCCGGUGCACUCUUCUAUAGGCAGGCCAGCAUCAGUUUGGGCGGUUGGAUAAAGGUCUCUGUCAUGUACCUCUCUUCGGGGAGAACUUAUAGGGGAGACGACAUGCAACCAGCCUGGACUGAGGUCCGCGCAUUUGCUAGGAUGCUGGCGUAAUGGCUGUAAGCGGCCCGUCUUGAAACACGGACCAAGGAGUCUAACAUCUAUGCGAGUGUUUGGGUGUCAAGCCCGAACGCGUAAUGAAAGUGAACGGAGGUGGGAACCUUUCGGGGUGCACCAUCGACCGAUCCUGAUGUCUUCGGAUGGAUUUGAGUAAGAGCAUAGCUGUUGGGACCCGAAAGAUGGUGAACUAUGCUUGAAUAGGGUGAAGCCAGAGGAAACUCUGGUGGAGGCUCGCAGCGGUUCUGACGUGCAAAUCGAUCGUCAAAUUUGGGCAUAGGGGCGAAAGACUAAUCGAACUAUCUAGUAGCUGGUCUG
rnacentral:sRNA from 1 species